rnacentral:rRNA from 1 species
GACGAACGCUGGCGGCGUGCUUAACACAUGCAAGUCGAACGGAUCUAUCCAACGGGUAACUGAAGGGUAGAUUAGUGGCGAACGGGUGAGGAAUACAUGGACAACGUACCCUGGACACGGGGAUAGCGGCGGGCCGCAAGGCUCUUUAGCGAAAGUGCCGGUAAUACCCGAUGAUCCCGCAUGGUCGCAUGAUCGUGUGGGCAAAGCUCCGACGGUCUGGGAUCGGUUCAUGCCCUAUCAGCUAGUUGGUGGGGUAACGGCUCACCAAGGCAACGAUCAGUAUCCGGCCUGAGAGGGCGGACGGACACACUGGGACUGAGACACGGCCCAGACUCCUACGGGAGGCAGCAGUGGGGAAUUGUUCGCAAUGGGCGCAAGCCUGACGACGCAACGCCGCGUGGAGGAUGAAGACC